rnacentral:rRNA from 1 species
AGUGAAUAGAUACCCAGGUAGUCCCAGCUGUAAACGAUGCGCGUUAGGUGUAUCGGUGACCACGAGUCACCGAGGUGCCGAAGAGAAAUCGUGAAACGUGCCGCCUGGGAAGUACGGUCGCAAGGCUGAAACUUAAAGGAAUUGGCGGGGGAGCACCACAACAGGUGGAGCCUGCGGUUUAAUCGGACUCAACGCCGGGAAGCUCACCGGAUAAGACAGCUGAAUGAUAGCCGGGUUGAAGACUCUGCUUGACUAGCUGAGAGGAGGUGCAUGGCCGUCGUCAGUUCGUACUGUGAAGCAUCCUGUUAAGUCAGGCAACGAGCGAGACCCACGCCAACAGUUGCCAGCAUGUCCUCCGGGAUGGUGGGGACACUGUUGGGACCGCCUCUGCUAAAGAGGAGGAAGGAAUGGGCAACGGUAGGUCAGCAUGCCCCGAAUUAUCCGGGCUACACGCGGGCUACAAUGGUCAGGACAAUGGGUAUCAACACCGAAAGGUGAAGGCAAUCUCCUAAACCUGUCCUU